rnacentral:rRNA from 1 species
UACUUAGUGGCGGACGGGUGAGUAACGCGUGGGUAACCUGCCUUACACUGGGGGAUAACACUUAGAAAUAGGUGCUAAUACCGCAUAAGCGCACGAAGCCGCAUGGAUUUGUGUGAAAAACUCCGGUGGUGUAAGAUGGACCCGCGUCUGAUUAGCUUGUUGGCGAGGUAACGGCCCACCAAGGCGACGAUCAGUAGCCGGCCUGAGAGGGUGGACGGCCACAUUGGGACUGAGACACGGCCCAAACUCCUACGGGAGGCAGCAG